rnacentral:rRNA from 1 species
AUUCCAGCUCCAAUAGCGUAUAUUAAAGUUGUUGCAGUUAAAAAGCUCGUAGUUGGAUCUCAGGUGCAGGCGGGCGGUCCGGCUCGCGCCGGUCACUGCUCGUAUCUCCUGCCCUACCGUUUGCCGGCUCUCUCCCGUGGGUGCUCUUCACUGAGCGUCCCGGGUGGCCGGUGCGUUUACUUUGAAAAAAUUAGAGUGUUCAAAGCAGGCCUCGGCAGCCUGAAUAAUGGUGCAUGGAAUAAUGGAAUAGGACCUCGGUUCUAUUUUGUUGGUUUUCGGAACGGAGGUAAUGAUUAACAGGGACAAACGGGGGCAUUCGUAUUGCGGCGUUAGAGGUGAAAUUCUUGGAUCGCCGCAAGACGAGCUACUGCGAAAGCAUUUGUCAAGAAUGUUUUCAUUA